ensembl:lncRNA uncharacterized LOC114594965
ACUUGGCUUCAGGUAUCUCCAGGAUUCCCACCAACCUCCAGCCAUGAAGAUCUUCUGCCUCCUCUCUGUUGCCGUCCUCUUCUUGAUGCUCCUGGCUCCAGAUUUCACCAGAGCCCAAAAUGCCAAGGAAGAAUGUCACCUUGCCGGCGGGAGCUGCCAUUAUUUUAGGUGCUGGAAAGGCAAAACAGAAAUUGCUAAAUGCACAGGAAGCAGAGUUUGUUGCCGUUAAGGUGGGGGUAACUCUGCAGAUCUCUGGUGCAAGACCUCUAGUGAAAGGAAGACCACCCUGCUCUCCUCUGAUGUGCAGCUGCCUCGACUGCACCCCCAUCUCUGAUGGGGAAGAAACCGCUUUGCUUGAUGCUGCUGAAGGCGAUGCUGGGAAGGAGUCAAGAGGGAACCGUCCUGUCUGUCUCUCUACUCAGGAGAAUCUCAAUGCAUUCUUUUUAAUAAAUGCAAGCAUUGG